GGAUGUGAGGGUGGCCUGGCUGUGACAUCCGUCACCCCAUUGAUCACCAGUGUUGAUUCGGCUGAUCUGGCUGGCUGGGCAGGUGUCCCCAUCCUCCCUCACUGCUCCCCGUGCGUCCCCCCCAGAAGCUGCGUGCUCCAUCGAAGGGGACGACCUUCCCCCCCGAAAGAUGAGGACGGUUCUUCGGUCAAGGGUACACGAAUAGCUGCGCUCCCCUGCUGCAAUCUCCAAACACGCUUUCAAGCUCCAAAAUUCCUGUUGAAGCCCCAGUCCCCAGUUCCUCAGAAUGUGGCUGCAUUUGGAGAUAAGGCCUUUAAAGAGGUGAUUAAGUUAAAAUGAGGCCAUUGAGGAGGCCCUGAUCC
rnacentral:snRNA from 1 species